AGACGGUAGUAACAUAAUAACGUAUGACCAGUAUAUACAUGUACGUACGUCAAUUUGUAAAUAUACAUGUAGACUAAACAUCACAGCUACUGCCAAAAUAAGGCUUUGUUCAGUCAAAUAAGGGUGCCCAUUCCGCAAUAUAAAAGCAUUUAGAAAUACCCAAGACAAAUUAUAAGCCAAAGAGAGGUACGGAAAAGUGGACAUAAAUUCCGCAACAAAGUAAAGCACUUCUAUCAACAUUUCACUGCAUAAAUAAGAAAUUUAAUAUCAAGUGACAUCAUCAAGUUCUUGGGCAAGGAUGUGUGCAUCCCUCAGUUUCAUCUCAUCGAUGGUAUCUGUGGAUUCAACCCUGACGAUAUUAACAUUACUCGUCUCCCCACCUACUAUACCCACACAUCUGCCGGUACGUCUGUCAAGAAUCUCAUUCACUUUGCUCAGGGAGCGCACAAUGGAAAGUUUGCAAUGUAUGACUACGAGCAAAGAAUAUGAAAGCAUACGGAACUCCCACCCCUCCCUCGUACAACGUGACAGAGCUGAAUGUCCCCACUGCCUUGUUCACUGGUGGCCAUGAUUGGUUAGCUGACCCCACUGACGUCAAUGCCUCGGCUCCAUACCACUGCUCAACACUACUGACAUCAAUCGAGCUAUGGAGGAAUCUUACAAAACAAUGUGCUGUGACCUAAGCUGCCAUGCUGUCGUGAUCAGAACAGGGUGGUGGAAAAUCAAGAUGGCGGUGCUAUGUGGGGCUGAUGGAGACAUAAUUUACGAUACAGGGUUGUAAAACCCUCAACAUUAAUUUUUGUAACAGUCUUAUAUAGAGUAUUUUUUUAUGUUAUAGUUUUCAUCUACAGCUGAUUUGUAAAUGAAGCAGACAUUCAUCUAGGCCCUGAUAAAUAACUUUAUUAUGUUUUUUUUUCACCCAUUAUUCAUUCUUGAAAAAUAUGCCUAUUAUUCUCAUAAAAAUCCGAUUAUUCUUAAUUAUUACAUAACAACGUUAACGUAUAUAUAAACACAACACACA